AUUCCAGCUCCAAUAGCGUAUAUUAAAGUUGUUGCGGUUAAAAAGCUCGUAGUUGGAUUUCUGUCAAAGGUGAGGCGGUCCAUCUUAUGGAUGUGCAUCUGCCUAUGCCUUGGCAUCCUCAUGAAGAACGUUUUCGCGCUUCACUGCGUGUUUACGGUAUUCAUGACUUUUACUUUGAUGAAAUUAGAGUGUUCACGGCAGGCAAUCGCUUUGGAUACAUUAGCAUGGAAUAAUACUAUAGGACCUCGGUUCUAUUUUGUUGGUUUCUAGAGCUGAGGUAAUGAUUAAUAGGGAUAAUUGGGGGUCUUUGUAUGCAACGUCAGAGGUGAAAUUCUUGGAUUGUUGCACGACAAACUACUGCGAAAGCAUUGACCAAGGAUGUUUUCAUCA
rnacentral:rRNA from 1 species